UAAAUGUUUUAGCAAUCAGGCAUAGAUGAAGUAAAUGAGUUUAAGGUAUACUGAAAGCAUGCAGUGCUUUACUUUAUGAACAUUUCAGAUGUUCUCCACAUAGUUGUUUCAUUGUGUUAAAACAUGAAUUGUUUCAAUUAUAGUGAGUCCACAAACACCAACCCUAGUUUUUCUAUCUAACUUUUGUCUCCAAUUCACACAUGUACCUUCCACCAACAUGAUGCCUGAAAACAGAUGCUGUGCACAUAAAUCCCCACUCCCUUGUAGCUUUUGCACUGACUCUGAAGCCACCCAUGGAGAGAGAAAUAUUCGUCCCAGAUGAAAAAAGUAAAUCCAAAGUUAUCUUAAAGGCUGUUGUUUCUGGAGAUGAACAGAAUGCAGUGAGAGAUGCUUCGGUGUCUUGCAAAGUUGAGAAUAAGCCUGUAACAGAUGUGAAAUCAGGUGAUGUCCAGACUUCUAAAGACAGCUCACAGUAUAUUAGAAUCCACAAUGUCACUGUUGAUCGCGAGGAAUGGUUUAAUGGUAAAACGGUCAUUUGUGCCACUCAACACACAAAUGGAAAAGAAAUCAAGGAGGAGAUCCAUUUUGAUAAAGGAGAUAAAACGAAGCCCGAUGUUUACAUUUACAGACCUGACGAUGAUACACUCACUUUUGUCUCUCUGGUGUGUGAGGUCACCAGCUCUCAACUUGGUGAUGUUUAUAUCAUGUGGACUGUGGGCGAUGGAAAAUAUAUUGAGGCCACUACCAGUGCUCCAAUCCGCCAAAACAACCGCACGUCUGUCCUCAGUAUUCUCACAGUGACUAAAGAAGAAUACCAAAAACACACAAUCUCCUGUGCUGUCAAACAUGCCAGCAAUAACAAUGAAAGCCUGCCAUUAUUAAAACCAACAAGCAAAAGUGAGCCACCAGAGCCAGAGAUGGGCUUUGCUUUGCACUGCAAUGAAGGUGUUUUGGAGGAGGAUGAGUUCAGAAGUCUCUGGUCCACUGCCACAUCAUUUAUCUUCCUCUUCCUGUUUUCUCUGACCUACAGUGCAGUACUCAGCUUCUUCAAGAUGAAGCAGUGAAUACGGAGUGAUUUGGAGGUUAUUUGUUUUUCUUGUCAAAUUGUAUCUUAAUACAUUUUGAAAUCAAAACAAGAACAGAAACUAUUCUCUGUUGCUCUGUCAUGACUCAUCUUUUUUUUAUAUUGAUAUUGUUGAAACUAUACUGUUUCCCUUUAUCUAAACAUUUUUGGUGAUUAUUGAUAAAGAUGU